CUGUCGCUGGCCGAGACGGUCGUGGAGGGCGGUUCGAGCCCGUAGACCGGAUUCAGAUAGCUGAAGCGGCUGAUCGUUGCCUGCCGCAGCAGG
rnacentral:tRNA from 1 species